AGAAAGGCGGAAAUCUCCUUGCAAAUGCUUGUCUGUUGGGAAAUCAGGAACGAGAGAAACGCUCGAGGCUUUCGCGACAAGGAAUCUCGGCCAACGAAAGUGGUGACAAUAAUCAAGGAGGUGGCCAAGACAUGGGUGAUAGCCGAGGCUAGAUCUUUAGGCAAUUUAAUUCCGGGAGAGUGA
rnacentral:rRNA from 1 species